rnacentral:Y_RNA from 1 species
GGCUGGUCUGAUGGUGCUGGGUUAUCAGAACUUAUUAACAUUAGUGUCACUAAAGUUGGUAUACAAUCCCCCACUGCUAAAUUUGACUGGCUUUUA